AAUCCUGACUCAGGAUGAACGCUAGCGGCAGGCUUAACACAUGCAAGUCGAGGGGCAGCAUAAUAGAUAGCAAUAUCUAUGGUGGCGACCGGCGCACGGGUGCGUAACGCGUAUGCAACCUACCUUUAACAGGGGGAUAACACUGAGAAAUUGGUACUAAUACCCCAUAAUAUCAUAGAAGGCAUCUUUUAUGGUUGAAAAUUCCGAUGGUUAGAGAUGGGCAUGCGUUGUAUUAG
rnacentral:rRNA from 1 species